GGGUUGUGAGGUUAAGCGACUAAGCGUACACGGUGGAUGCCCUGGCAGUCAGAGGCGAUGAAGGACGUGCUAAUCUGCGAUAAGCGUCGGUAAGGUGAUAUGAACCGUUAUAACCGGCGAUUUCCGAAUGGGGAAACCCAGUGUGAUUCGUCACACUAUCAUUAACUGAAUCCAUAGGUUAAUGAGGCGAACCGGGGGAACUGAAACAUCUAAGUACCCCGAGGAAAAGAAAUCAACCGAGAUUCCCCCAGUAGCGGCGAGCGAACGGGGAGCAGCCCAGAGCCUGAAUCAGUGUGUGUGUUAGUGGAAGCGUCUGGAAAGGCGUGCGAUACAGGGUGACAGCCCCGUACACAAAAAUGCACAUAUUGUGAGCUCGAUGAGUAGGGCGGGACACGUGGUAUCCUGUCUGAAUAUGGGGGGACCAUCCUCCAAGGCUAAAUACUCCUGACUGACCGAUAGUGAACCAGUACCGUGAGGGAAAGGCGAAAAGAACCCCGGCGAGGGGAGUGAAAAAGAACCUGAAACCGUGUACGUACAAGCAGUGGGAGCACGCUUAGGCGUGUGACUGCGUACCUUUUGUAUAAUGGGUCAGCGACUUAUAUUCUGUAGCAAGGUUAACCGAAUAGGGGAGCCGAAGGGAAACCGAGUCUUAACUGGGCGUUAAGUUGCAGGGUAUAGACCCGAAACCCGGUGAUCUAGCCAUGGGCAGGUUGAAGGUUGGGUAACACUAACUGGAGGACCGAACCGACUAAUGUUGAAAAAUUAGCGGAUGACUUGUGGCUGGGGGUGAAAGGCCAAUCAAACCGGGAGAUAGCUGGUUCUCCCCGAAAGCUAUUUAGGUAGCGCCUCGUGAAUUCAUCUCCGGGGGUAGAGCACUGUUUCGGCAAGGGGGUCAUCCCGACUUACCAACCCGAUGCAAACUGCGAAUACCGGAGAAUGUUAUCACGGGAGACACACGGCGGGUGCUAACGUCCGUCGUGAAGAGGGAAACAACCCAGACCGCCAGCUAAGGUCCCAAAGUCAUGGUUAAGUGGGAAACGAUGUGGGAAGGCCCAGACAGCCAGGAUGUUGGCUUAGAAGCAGCCAUCAUUUAAAGAAAGCGUAAUAGCUCACUGGUCGAGUCGGCCUGCGCGGAAGAUGUAACGGGGCUAAACCAUGCACCGAAGCUGCGGCAGCGACGCUUAUGCGUUGUUGGGUAGGGGAGCGUUCUGUAAGCCUGCGAAGGUGUGCUGUGAGGCAUGCUGGAGGUAUCAGAAGUGCGAAUGCUGACAUAAGUAACGAUAAAGCGGGUGAAAAGCCCGCUCGCCGGAAGACCAAGGGUUCCUGUCCAACGUUAAUCGGGGCAGGGUGAGUCGACCCCUAAGGCGAGGCCGAAAGGCGUAGUCGAUGGGAAACAGGUUAAUAUUCCUGUACUUGGUGUUACUGCGAAGGGGGGACGGAGAAGGCUAUGUUGGCCGGGCGACGGUUGUCCCGGUUUAAGCGUGUAGGCUGGUUUUCCAGGCAAAUCCGGAAAAUCAAGGCUGAGGCGUGAUGACGAGGCACUACGGUGCUGAAGCAACAAAUGCCCUGCUUCCAGGAAAAGCCUCUAAGCAUCAGGUAACAUCAAAUCGUACCCCAAACCGACACAGGUGGUCAGGUAGAGAAUACCAAGGCGCUUGAGAGAACUCGGGUGAAGGAACUAGGCAAAAUGGUGCCGUAACUUCGGGAGAAGGC
rnacentral:rRNA from 1 species